GCCUGACGCGCCCGCCGCCGCGCGCGGGGGUUUGUUUAUUUUCUAGGUUGGUUGCUGCGCUGUCGCGUGGGUAGGGGUUCGCGGGUGACGUGAGCGCCCGGAGUUGGGGGAAAGGACCAGACCCACCUGCUGGAGAAGGGGAGCUACGGGGGCCGGGCAGGGUCCAAACGUCUCACGUAGGCGGCGGCGCCGCGGUCUUCGGGGUUACCGGGAAGAGAAGGGCUUACCCGGGGUAGGUGGAAGGACGGAGGCCUCCCGAGAGAAUAGGACUCCAGGCUAUUUCUCCGCAGUUCGGCGGCUUCACCUGAAUCGCGGAGAGCAGUUAGAGAGCCCUGCAGUAGAAAAGGGCCAGUGGAACGUGGGGGCCCGAAUUCCCAGCCCCUCCGGGCUCGACCUCCAGUUAGUGAAGUAGGGUUGGUCCUGCAAACAAGAUUUGAAUAGAAAGACUGCAUCAUUUCUCUCUGGAUUAUGCAGAUGACUACAAGUCCCUGGAGUUGGCAGAACCACAGAAAGAACGUGCAGGGAUGAAGGAGAGCUGCCCAUUGACCUGGAACACCCACUCUGGAUUAUUUUGUGAGCAAGAGCUAUUUGAAUCCUGGAACACUGUGAGGAGUGAGGGGAGCUAUAAUCUGCCUAUAAUUUGUUGUUACUUGGGGCAGGGUUCAAGAAGUGGUUCUUUUAAGAGACCCCUCAGAUCAAAUAAAUUCUAACAAUAUUUACCACUUUGGACUUGAAAAAUCAUACCUUGCUUUGUAUAUACUGUAAUAAGCUUGAAAACACAAUAAUACAGUAUGUAAAUAUUGUUUCAAAAUGCAUUUCUUUUGUUCUACUUUAAUUACAUAAGUAUUUACUAAUAAAUGGAGUUUUAAAUUUCCAAAAAUCCUAAGUAUACAAGUUUUUAGAUGU